rnacentral:rRNA from 1 species
AACGUAGGAGACAAACGUUAUCCGGAGUUACUGGGCGUAAAGGGCGUGUAGGUGGUUUCGUAAGUCUGGCGUGAAAUUUCUCGGCUUAACCGAGGCAGGUCGUCGGAUACUGCGGAACUUGAGGACGGUAGAGGCGUGUGGAAUUCCGGGUGUAGUGGUGAAAUGCGUAGAGAUCCGGAGGAGCACCAGUGGCGAAGGCGACACGCUGGGCCGUACCUGACACUGAUGCGCGACAGCAUGGGGAGCAAACAGG